UACUGAUUUGGUCAAAGUUCUUUCUGUCU
rnacentral:piRNA from 1 species